rnacentral:lncRNA from 1 species
GUUGUAGCUUCAAAGAGAGAAGAGAGGAUGAAGGAGAGGUCCAAAAGCUUCCUCUUGUUGAUCUCCUUCUUCUUCUCCUUCCUUUUCUUCCUUCCUUUCCUUCUCUUUUCCUCUUCUUCUUCUUCUUCUCUUUUCUUUCUAGAGAGAGAGAGCAAGAGAGUGUGAGUGAGGGAGAGAGAGAGUGGGCUGAGGGAGAGUGAGAGGGAGAGAGGGACUAAUAAGCCCUCUA